ACCUUAAAGCACUUAUAUUUCUUUUAGCAUGUCUUCUUGGCAAAUGUUUCAGAAUUGAGAUUUACUCAGCACUUUUACUUGGUAGAAGUGAUCGUAUAAAAUUAAGGAGUAUGUAAACAAUUUAGGAGAAAAGUAUCUUUAAGGAGCAAUUCAAAAAAUAUGCUUUAAAUCGUUAGAUGACCUGUGUGAAUAGGACUUUUAGGCAUUAUAAGUUAUUAUCGUCAGUUUAACUGAAAAGUGUUUCAUUUUCUAUUUUACUGAGCCUUAAAAUAGCACUUGGAGCUUGUGAAAUUCGAUGUUUGGCAGUCAUGUGUGCAAAUGAAUAUGACUGAAAAUCUCUUUGUACCUGUAUGUCAUCUGGUCUAAAAGGAUUUUGUAUCUCUUCAUUCCCCCAGAAAAAUUUAAAGCUGUAAGUUAAGAGUAUACCACUGGGUAACACCAAUCCAGUUGAGCUUUAUGCAUUAUUAUUCAUAAACCAUGUCUUCCUUUCCUAAGUAUUUCAAGGGCCAAACUUGAUACUUGCUUACUGGAAUUUUAGAGAAG
rnacentral:lncRNA from 1 species